UACGAGGGGUGCUAGCGUUGCUCGGAAUUAUUGGGCGUAAAGGGUAGGUAGGUGGUCUCAUUUGUCUCAUGUGAAAGCCUUGAGCUUAACUCAGGAAGUGCGUGAGAAACGGUGAGACUAGAGUACUGGAGAGGCUAGUGGAAUUCCCGGUGUAGCGGUGAAAUGCGUAGAGAUCGGGAGGAACACCAGAGGCGAAGGCGGCUAGCUGGACAGUAACUGACACUCAACUACGAAAGCGUGGGGAGCAAACAGG
rnacentral:rRNA from 1 species